rnacentral:rRNA from 1 species
UGCGUAGGCGGCGUUAUAAGUCAGAUGUGAAAGCCCACCGCUUAACGGUGGAACUGCAUUUGAUACUGUAGUGCUUGAAUCAGGUUGAGGUCAGCGGAAUGUGUCAUGUAGCGGUGAAAUGCAUAGAUAUGACAUAGAACACCAAUUGCGAAGGCAGCUGGCUAGACCUGUAUUGACGCUGAGGCACGAAAGCGUGGGGAGCGAACAGGAUUAGAUACCCUGGUAGUCC